rnacentral:rRNA from 1 species
GAUGAACGCUGGCGGCGUGCUUAACACAUGCAAGUCGAACGGUGAAGGCGGAGCUUGCUCUGCUGGAUCAGUGGCGAACGGGUGAGUAACACGUGAGCAAUCUGCCCCUGACUCUGGGAUAAGCGCUGGAAACGGCGUCUAAUACUGGAUACGAGCUGCGAAGGCAUCUUCAGCAGCUGGAAAGAAUUUCGGUCAGGGAUGAGCUCGCGGCCUAUCAGCUUGUUGGUGAGGUAAUGGCUCACCAAGGCGUCGACGGGUAGCCGGCCUAAGAGGGUGACCGGCCACACUGGGACUGAGAGACGGCCCAGACUCCUACGGGAGGCAGCAGUGGGGAAUAUUGCACAAUGGGCGAAAGCCUGAUGCAGCAACGCCGCGUGAGGGACGACGGCCUUCGGGUUGUAAACCUCUUUUAGCAGGGAAGAAGCGAAAGUGACGGUACCUGAAGAAAAAGCGCCGGCUAACUACGUG